ensembl:ncRNA F29C4.10 ncRNA
CUUUAGAACAUCCCCUGCCACGUGGCAAGCCUGGGGUCUACUUGACAUUGGUCAGUGCAAACGAAAACAGCUGGUGCCUUGGCAGGAACGAGGUACAGGUGGUCAUGUUUGAAGUGG